AGUCGACGAUUAAGCACCUUCGGGUGUGUAUAGAGUGGCGAACGGGUGAGUAACACGUGACCAACCUGCCUCUUACAUUGGGACAACCAAAAGAAAUUCUGGCUAAUACCAAAUACUCCACACAUAUCACAUGAUGUAUGCGGGAAAGCUUUUGCGGUAAGAGAUGGGGUCGCGGCCCAUUAGGUAGACGGCGGGGUAGAAGCCCACCGUGCCGAUGAUGGGUAGCCGGGUUGAGAGACCGACCGGCCACAUUGGGACUGAGAUACGGCCCAGACUCCUACGGGAGGCAGCAGUGGGGAAUAUUGCGCAAUGGGGGAAACCCUGACGCAGCAACGCCGCGUGCGGGAUGAAGGCCUUCGGGUUGUAAACCGCUUUCAGCAGGGAAGACAUCGACGGUACCUGCAGAAGAAGCCCCGGCUAACUACGUGCCAGCAGCCGCGGUAAUACGUAGGGGGCGAGCGUUAUCCGGAUUCAUUGGGCGUAAAGCGCGCGCAGGCGGUUGCUCAAGCGGAACCUCUAAUCUCGGGGCUUAACCUCGAGCCGGGUUCCGAACUGGACGACUCGAGUGCGGUAGAGGCAGAUGGAAUUCCCGGUGUAGCGGUGGAAUGCGCAGAUAUCGGGAAGAACACCAACGGCGAAGGCAGUCUGCUGGGCCGUCACUGACGCUGAGGCGCGAAAGCUGGGGGAGCGAACAGGAUUAGAUACCCUGGUAGUCCCAGCCGUAAACGAUGAGCGCUGGGUGUGGGAGAUUACAUCUUCCGUGCCGAAGCUAACGCAUUAAGCGCUCCGCCUGGGGAGUACGGCCGCAAGGCUAAAACUCAAAGGAAUUGACGGGGGCCCGCACAAGCAGCGGAGCAUGUGGCU
rnacentral:rRNA from 1 species